GAUGAAGAACGCAGCGAAAUGCGAUAAGUAAUGUGAAUUGCAGAAUUCAGUGAAUCAUCGAGUCUUUGAACGCACAUUGCGCCCCUUGGUAUUCCGAGGGGCAUGCCUGUUCGAGCGUCAUUAUAACCCUCAAGCUCAGCUUGGUGUUGGGGCCUGCUGCACCGGCAGCCCUUAAAAUCAGUGGCGGCGCCAUCUGGCUCUAAGCGUAGUAAUUCUUCUCGCUAUGGAGUCCUGGUGGAUGCUUGCCAUCAACCCCCAAUUUUUCUAUGGUUGACCUCGGAUCAGGUAGGGAUACCCGCUGAACUUAAGCAUAUCAAUAAGCGGAGGA
rnacentral:misc_RNA from 1 species